rnacentral:rRNA from 1 species
UACGUAGGGGGCAAGCGUUGUCCGGAUUCAUUGGGCGUAAAGAGCGUGUAGGCGGCCAGGUAGGUCGGUUGUGAAAACUGGAGGCUCAACCUUCAGAGGUCGACCGAAAACCAUCUGGCUAGAGUCCGGGAGAGGAGAGUGGAAUUCCCGGUGUAGCGGUGAAAUGCGCAGAUAUCGGGAAGAACACCCGUGGCGAAGGCGGCGACCUGG